GAUGAACGCUGACAGAAUGCUUAACACAUGCAAGUCAACUUGAAUUUGGGUUUUUAACUUAGAUUUGGGUGGCGGACGGGUGAGUAACGCGUAAAGAACUUGCCUCACAGAUAGGGACAACAUUUGGAAACGAAUGCUAAUACCUGAUAUUAUGAUUUUAGGGCAUCCUAGGAUUAUGAAAGCUAUAUGCGCUGUGAGAGAGCUUUGCGUCCCAUUAGCUAGUUGGAGAGGUAACGGCUCACCAAGGCGAUGAUGGGUAGCCGGCCUGAGAGGGUGAUCGGCCACAAGGGGACUGAGACACGGCCCUUACUCCUACGGGAGGCAGCAGUGGGGAAUAUUGGACAAUGGACCAAGAGUCUGAUCCAGCAAUUCUGUGUGCACGAUGAAGUUUUUCGGAAUGUAAAGUGCUUUCAGUUGGGAAGAAAAAAAUGACGGUACCAACAGAAGAAGUGACGGCUAAAUACGUGCCAGCAGCCGCGGUAAUACGUAUGUCACAAGCGUUAUCCGGAUUUAUUGGGCGUAAAGCGCGUCUAGGUGGUUAUAUAAGUCUGAUGUGAAAAUGCAGGGCUCAACUCUGUAUUGCGUUGGAAACUGUGUAACUAGAGUACUGGAGAGGUAAGCGGAACUACAAGUGUAGAGGUGAAAUUCGUAGAUAUUUGUAGGAAUGCCGAUGGGGAAGCCAGCUUACUGGACAGAUACUGACGCUGAAGCGCGAAAGCGUGGGUAGUAAACAGG
rnacentral:rRNA from 1 species